rnacentral:rRNA from 1 species
CGCUGGCGGCGCACAUAAGACAUGCAAGUCGAACGGAAGUCGUUAUACUGAUUUUGAUAUGAACGAGAACUUGUUCAAAGGGACUUGAUGAAGAUUUAUAACAAUGGCUUUAGUGGCGGACUGGUGAGUAACGCGUGAGCAACCUGCCUAUUAGAGGGGAACAACAGUUAGAAAUGAUUGCUAAUACCGCAUAUGCCUAAGUACCACAUGGUACAAUAGGGAAAGGAGUAAUCCGCUAAUAGAUGGGCUCGCGUCUGAUUAGAUAGUUGGUGGGGUAACGGCCUACCAAGUCGACGAUCAGUAGCCGGACUGAGAGGUUCAACGGCCACAUUGGGACUGAGAUACGGCCCAGACUCCUACGGGAGGCAGCAGUCGGGAAUAUUGCGCAAUGGAGGAAACUCUGACGCAGUGACGCCGCGUGCAGGAAGAAGGUUUUCGGAUUGUAAACUGCUUUAGACAGGGAAGAAAAAGACAGUACCUGUAGAAUAAGCUCCGGCUAACUACGUGCCAGCCGCCGC